GACCAUUCCCGGAGCAGCAAGGCGGGUUUGUGGAGCAGCAGCGAGGAAAAGCGAGGGUCAUCCCGCUCCGAGCACAGUGCAGGGACCAGCACGAAGAACCUCAUGCCCAAAGAGUCCCGGGAGUCUAGGCUAGACACCUUCUGGGACUAGGGGUGCAUUGUGAGCCAGAAACCUCCCUGAGUGUGUGGGGGGGAAACAACCCAAACAACAGGAAGCAACAGAAACUGGAGAACUGCCACCACCUUUAGAAUUCCUAACACUCAGGCUCUGCCCGUGGGCUUGGCUGCAGGACAGCGACUUGACUCCAUGACUUGACUCCACCCCAGCUUCCACCUUGGCCGGGACUGCUCUACCCUGUGAGCCAAACACUUUAGGUGUAAGUAGGUACACUUUGUGAUGUCACUGACCUAGUGUACCCUUU
rnacentral:lncRNA from 1 species